UGAAUCUUUCUGCAUUAAUUAACUAAUAACAACCAAGUUUCGAUAAUAAAAAGACUAAUUUUUCUGCAUCAUAAAAAGUAAACCCGAAUGAGGCAAUUCAUCAAGCACUAAACCUGCAUUCGAAACACAAACAAAGAACACUCAAGAGAAAGCGGAUUUCACCAAAGCACCUACGAAAUUGGUAAAAAAUAUUAGACUUUCCCAGCCUAAAAGAAAAACCAAAGCAUUAUUACCAAAUUCAUUCAAAUCCAAAAGUAAAUACAUAAAAUCAACAUUCAAUUCGCCAGUACACCUAAAUUACUCUAGAAAUUCAAAUUUAUAGCUAAUUAAACAUUAUAAAAUAUUAAAAAAAUGAAUCUAAAAGCAAAAAUAUGUCGACAAUCAAAUCAAAAUCAAUUCCUCUAAUUCGAUUCCAAAUGUCUCAGGCACGGGUUGCACGAUAGAGUGAACGAGCUUGCCAAUUGUGGUACCUCUAUUUACAAGCUUGAAUAUCCUCUCCAGUAACUAUUCUUUUGCUCAAGUCAAUGUGACCUUUUAGCUUGUCACACCGACCAUGACGGCUCGAUGCGGCUGACUUUAAAGAACUCCAACAAAAGGAUAAUCCUGACGAUGUUGUUGUACUUGAGCAGGCAAGCUUUUAGGGUUUAGACUUUGAUGAAAUCAAAAGGGUCUUUUGACCUAGAGCUUCAAUCUUCAAUCUUCGAAUCAACUUUUUGCUUCUGGUUCGAUCUAUCAUUAAGGGAUGGCAAUGGGGAGGGGAGGAGAGGGGACAAUCUCCUCGUAUCCAUCCCCGAUAUCCCCGUCCCCUCCCCGUCCCCGUCAGAAUUACUUGAAAGAAUCCUCAUCCCCUCCCCGAAUAAUAAUAGGGGAUCCCCGAGGGUCCCCAAUCCCCGAAUAACUAAUACAAUUUUUUUUUGUUUUUGAUUUUGAGUUAAUCAUAUUAAAAUAAAAAAUUCAAAUAAAAGUAAAGUUCAAAAUAUAUCUUACAUUAAUAUCCAUUACAAAAGUCACAUACAUUAAAUUAGUGUGUAACGCAGCAUGCAAGGGAUACAAACUUCUUUUACAAACUAUUAUGAACAAAUUAAUAGUCUAAUACAAAAUUGUUACAAAUAAAAUCGAAUUUAUAUUCAAAAUUAAUUUUUUCAAUGGUGGCAUGGGCACUUUAUAAAUGUGGACUAUUCCCUUUACAACACAAUAGUUAAAUCGGAGCAAAUCAAGAGCAAAUAUUAGAUUAGAUAUUAAAAUUGUGAUUCGUUGUGGGUAAUUAUAACAUCUAAAAAUAAAUAAAAAAUAGAUUUAAGUUUAAAAUAUUUAAAGAAUAUUAAAAUUAAAAAAUUUUAGGCUAAUAAAAUCUACUCAGUCUUUUUAAUGUCCUAAAUAAAAAUUUAGAACUUUAAUUAGUUAAUUAGGCCUAAAAGUUUAAUAAUAUAAAUAUUUUGAUAUUUUUUAUUUUUAUCAAUAUUUAUAAUUUUAUAAUUUAUUUACUAGUAAUUUUAAAAAAUUAAAAUAAAAUUAAAAAUUAAAAUGGGGAAAUGGGUAGGGGAUGGGGAUUCCACCUCAUCCCCGUCCUCUCCCCGAAUAAGAAAUUGGGUAAAAAAAUUUCCCCGUCCCUUCCCCGAAUAAGAAAUUGGGUAUGAAAUUAUCCUCAUAUCCUCCCCGAAUGGGGAAAAUCCCCGAGGGUACCCGUCCCCGUGGGGAUUUUUUCCAUCCCUACAUUAAGAGGCUAGAGAGGUUGAGCCGUUUGAUCUGUUUUUGCUUUUGGUUUUGGCCUUUGUUUUAUUUUGGUUUUUUGUUUUGUCAAAAA
rnacentral:lncRNA from 1 species